rnacentral:misc_RNA from 1 species
CCUCUCUCCAUGUGUUCAGAUUCUGAUCUUGAGGUUUAAGAAAACAAUCCUUUCUGCAAAUUCAGGGUUUUGGGUUAAUUUAAGGGGGUUUUGAUCUUUUCAUGGGUGCCAAUGAAUCUCAUACUUCGUCCCACACGCAUGAUGAGGGUCCUUCAACCAAGCCAAGGCUCGGUGACAUACCAGAGAGCUGCGUGGCGUUGGUUCUAAUGCACUUGGACCCGCUUGAGAUCUGCAAUUUGGCUCUAUUAAAUCGGGCCUUUCACGCUGCUUCUUCCGCUGAUUUUAUUUGGGAAACGAAGCUGCCUUCAAAUUAUCGGUUUAUAUUGGACAGAGUGUUUGAUGAUCACAAAAGUAUGGCAGAUUUAGGGAAGAAAGAUAUUUUUGCCAAGCUGUGCAGGCCUAUCCCUUUUGAUGGUGGCACAAAAGAAGUAUGGCUGGAUAGGAAAACUGCCGGAGUUUGUUUAUCGAUUUCUUCCAAAGCUUUAACUAUUACUGGGAUUGAUGACAGGAGAUACUGGAACCACAUUUCUACGGAUGAAUCAAGAUUCCAGAAAGUUGCAUAUCUUCAGCAUAUUUGGUGGCUUGAAGUAGAUGGAGAGUUAGAGUUUCAAUUUCCAGCAGGAACAUAUAGCCUAUUUUUCAGACUGCAGCUUGGCAAGUCCACAAGGAGAAUGGGUCGCAGGGUUUGUAAUACAGAGCACGUCCAUGGUUGGAAUAUAAAACCUGUAAGUUUUGAGCUAACAACUUCGAAUGGUGAACAUGCUGUGUCUCAAUGCUUUCUGGACAAUCCUGGGAACUGGGUUUACUACCAUGUAGGAGAUUUUGUUGUAUUGCAUCCAAACGAAAUGACCAAGAUCAAAUUUUCAUUGACCCAGAUUGAUUGCACUCACACCAAAGGAGGACUCUCUUUAGAUGCUGUUUUUAUAUACCCCAGUAACUUAGACAGUGAGAUGAGCACAACAUUCAAGUUGUGAGAACAACCCAUUUUUGUAUUCAUCAUGUAUAUUAUUUAUUUUUUGUAUUCAUCAUGUAUAUUAUUUAU